ensembl:lncRNA
UUUUCACAAAUGUCACAUCGUCUGUGAGAGCCCUUUGAUUAUUUCUUCAUCUCUCUCAAAAGAAACUCUAGAAAGAUCACAAAGGCAGGUGGUCCCUAGACUGUGUGUUCUUAUUUCCUAUGUCUCUAGUUUACAAGUGUUCACUAGUUUACAGGUGUUCAUUACUUUGCCAGGGUUCAUUAGUUUACAGGGGUUCAUUAGUUUACAGGUGUUCAUUAGUUUACAGGUGUUCAUUAGUUUACAGGGGUUCCCCAGUUUACAAGGGUUCAUUAAUUUGCCAGGGUUCAUUAGUUUACAGGUCUUCCCUAGUUUACAGGUGUUCAUAGGUUUACAAGUGUCCAUUAGUUUACAGGUGUUCACUAGUUUACAGGUGUUCAUUAGUUUACAAGUGUCC